GCUCAGAAAUCCUCCUACGAAAUUGCCACCUGAACUUCAAUCUAUUACCGCCUGCAACAAGUCUUCCAGUUUCUUUUCAGAGAAAAUUCAAAAGAUCAGAGAAUUAAUCUGCACAUCCACUCCAAAGCCAGUACCA